UUCCUAGAGAGAUAUUAACAAAAGUAGUAAGUAUGAUAUCAAUUAUGGAGGACAUAUACGAUUCAUACGGCACACUGGAAGAACUUUAACUUUUAACAGAUGCAAUUCAGAGGUGGGACGUUAAUUGUAUAGAUCAACUUCCAGAUUACAUGAAAUUGUUCUACAAGCCACUAUUAGAUGUUUAUAGAGAAGUGGAGGAGGCGAUAGCAAAACAAGGACAAUCAUAUCGUGUCCAAUAUUCUAUAAACAAAUUUAAGUAAGCAACUGAGUGAAGGCUAUUUUGCGGAGUUCAAAAGGUACGAUGAAAACUAUGUACCAACGAUGGAAGAGUAUAUGAGAGUCGGAAUUAU